CUUUUGGUUCGGAACAACACAGGGAAACUUGUGCUAAUACCGGAUAAGCCCUUACGGGGAAAGAUUUAUCGCCGAAAGAUCGGCCCGCGUCUGAUUAGCUAGUUGGUAGGGUAACGGCCUACCAAGGCGACGAUCAGUAGCUGGUCUGAGAGGAUGAUCAGCCACAUUGGGACUGAGACACGGCCCAAACUCCUACGGGAGGCAGCAGUGGGGAAUAUUGGACAAUGGGGGCAACCCUGAUCCAGCCAUGCCGCGUGAGUGAUGAAGGCCCUAGGGUUGUAAAGCUCUUUUGUGCGGGAAGAUAAUGACGGUACCGCAAGAAUAAG
rnacentral:rRNA from 1 species